AGAAGGUUCCAGAACCCCACUCAGAAGGUUCCAGAACCCCACCAUGAAGGUUCCACCACCCAGAACUCUCCAGAACCCCACUCAGAAGGUUCCAGAACCCCACUCAGAAGGUUCCAGAACCCCACUCAGAAGGUUCCACCACCCAAAACUCUCCAGAACCCCACCCAGAAGGUUCCAGAACCCCACUUAGAAGGUUCCACCACCCAAAACUCUCCAGAACCCCACCCUGAAGGUUCCAGAACCCCACUUAGAAGGUUCCAGAAGCCCACCCAGAAGGUUCCACCACCCAAAACUCUCCAGAAUCCCACCCAGAAGGUUCCAGAACCCCACUGAGAAGGUUCCACCACCCAGAACUCUCCAGAACCCCACUCAGAAGGUUCCAGAAGCCCACCCAGAAGGUUCCACCACCCAAAACUCUCCAGAACCCCACUCAGAAGGUUCCAGAACCCCACCAUGAAGGUUCCACGACCCAGAACUCUCCAGAACCCCACUCAGAAGGUUCCAGAACCCCACCAUGAAGGUUCCACCACCCAGAACUCUCCAGAACCCCACUCAGAAGGUUCCAGAACCCCACUCAGAAGGUUCCACCAUCCAGAACUCUCCAGAACCCCACUCAGAAGGUUCCAGAACCCCACUUAGAAGGUUCCAGAACCCCACUCAGAAGGUUCCACCACCCAAAACUCUCCAGAAUCGCACCCAGAAGGUUCCAGAACCCCACUCAGAAGGUUCCAGAAGCCCACCAUGAAGGUUCCACCACCCAGAAGGUUCCAGAACCCCACUGAGAAGGUUCCAGAAGGCCACCCCGACCUUCAGGGCCCCAGAUUUUUUGAGGAGCACCCCCUGCCCAGGUUCUGGUGUCUCACGUAGAUCAUCCAGGCCCCGUAGCGCUCCUUGAG